ensembl:scaRNA LOC120096791 small Cajal body-specific RNA 4
AACAGAGGACCCAGAAGCCUGAGUCUGAUGAAGCAAGAUUUUGCUGAUACACUCCUAGCAACAAAGGGUUGGAGAGACAAGCCCUUAUUUGGGGGCGGGAUCACAGGGCUGACUGUAUUACCCAACAUUA